CUUGUUUCUACCGUUUGUUUUUGCAAGAAAAGGUGAUAGUUCGCGUUCCCGGUGGGAUAUCAAGAAGAAGUGCAUUUUUGUUGAACUCGAAAGAAAUCGAGGUUGAGCGGCGAUGGGCGGUCGGUGGUGUUGAGAAAAUUGAAUCGAAUAAAAUGGAU